ACCUGGCUGGCUCAGUCAGUAGAGCAUGUGACUCUUGAUCUCAAGGUUGUGAGUUCAAGCCCCAUGUUGAGUA
rnacentral:tRNA from 1 species